CUCAACAUAACACUUGCUGAAUUAAUAUAAACGAGUAUGUUUAUGACAUUCAGUAUAUAUUUUAUAAUUACACUGACCUGAAAGGUCAAGUGUCUUAAAUCCCUAGUUUUCUGUUUUCUGUUUUUUUCGUCGUCGAGAAAUCGAGUUUGCGUUAGCGCAUCGCAGGCUCAGGGUGCAACGAUUAAUCCAAAAUGCCAUCGAUUCUUCGACUCCACGAUUCGUAUAUAAUAGUAAGAACUGGUAUUUAUGUACGUAAUAGCCGGCUCAUGCCAUGCUUGUGGUGCAUGUUUCGUUUAUUAGCCCAUAUAUAGAC